UCUGCUAAAAGCUUGUAAGUUUUACAGGUCAGGAAAUUGGAGCUCUUCAAUUUUGUGAUAUCUACUUCGAGUCCAACGAAAGAAUGAAGUCAUUCUCAGCUCUGUUAUGUUGUAUGGUCUUGGUCUACCCCUGCAAGGCCAGUGUUCUGGGUCUGUUGGAUCUUAAUAACAUUAAAGACACUGUUAGUAAAACAGUCGAGGGCUUGCCAGUUGUCGGUGGAAUCGCGAGUGGUGCUCUUAACACAGCCGGAGGAUUGGUUAGUA